UGGGGAAUAUUGCACAAUGGGCGAAAGCCUGAUGCAGCGACGCCGCGUGAGGGAUGACGGCCUUCGGGUUGUAAACCUCUUUCAGCAGGGACGAAGCGCAAGUGACGGUACCUGCAGAAGAAGCACCGGCUAACUACGUGCCAGCAGCCGCGGUAAUACGUAGGGUGCAAGCGUUGUCCGGAAUUACUGGGCGUAAAGAGUUCGUAGGCGGUUUGUCGCGUCGUUUGUGAAAACCAGCAGCUCAACUGCUGGCUUGCAGGCGAUACGGGCAGACUUGAGUACUGUAGGGGAGACUGGAAUUCCUGGUGUAGCGGUGAAAUGCGCAGAUAUAAGGAGGAACACCGGUGGCGAAGGCGGGUCUCUGGGCAGUAACUGACGCUGAGGAACGAAAGCGUGGGUAGCGAACAGG
rnacentral:rRNA from 1 species